GACGAACGCUGGCGGCGGGCCUAACACAUGCAAGUCGAACGGAUAAAGCCUGCUUGGGUGUGUAUCUAGAGGCGCAAGGGUGAGUAAAACGUGGGAAACCCCCGCCUUUCACUGGGGUAUACCUGGAAAAAAGUGGGUCUAACACCGAACUUCGGCUCUUCCUGCUGGGUGGCGUUUGGAAGUUUCGGCGGCGGGGGAUGGGACCGCGGCUUGUUAGCUUGUUGGUGGGGUAGCGGCCUACCAAGGCAUUGACGGGUAGCUGGGCUGAGAGGGUGACCCGCCACAUUGGGACUGAGAUACGGCCCAGACUCCUACGGGAGGCAGCAGUGGGGAAUCUUGCACAAUGGGCGGAAGCCUGAUGCAGCAACGCCGCGUGCGGGAUGAAGGCCUUCGGGUUGUAAACCGCUUUCACCUGUGACGAAGCGUGAGUGACGGUAACGGGUAAAGAAGCACCGGCUAACUACGUG
rnacentral:rRNA from 1 species